rnacentral:rRNA from 1 species
GAUGAACGCUGGCGGCGUGCCUAAUACGUGCAAGUCGAGCGAACGGACGAGAAGCUUGCUUCUCUGAUGUUAGCGGCGGACGGGUGAGUAACACGUGGAUAACCUACCUAUAAGACUGGGAUAACUUCGGGAAACCGGAGCUAAUACCGGAUAAUAUUUUGAACCGCAUGGUUCAAAAGUGAAAGACGGUCUUGCUGUCACUUAUAGAUGGAUCCGCGCUGCAUUAGCUAGUUGGUAAGGUAACGGCUUACCAAGGCAACGAUGCAUAGCCGACCUGAGAGGGUGAUCGGCCACACUGGAACUGAGACACGGUCCAGACUCCUACGGGAGGCAGCAGUAGGGAAUCUUCCGCAAUGGGCGAAAGCCUGACGGAGCAACGCCGCGUGAGUGAUGAAGGUCUUCGGAUCGUAAAACUCUGUUAUUAGGGAAGAACAUAUGUGUAAGUAACUGUGCACAUCUUGACGGUACCUAAUCAGAAAGCCACGGCUAACUACGU